rnacentral:rRNA from 1 species
GACGAACGCUGGCGGCGUGCUUAACACAUGCAAGUCGAACGGAAAGGCCCUGCUUUUGUGGGGUGCUCGAGUGGCGAACGGGUGAGUAACACGUGAGUAACCUGCCCUUGACUUUGGGAUAACUUCAGGAAACUGGGGCUAAUACCGGAUAGGAGCUCCUGCUGCAUGGUGGGGGUUGGAAAGUUUCGGCGGUUGGGGAUGGACUCGCGGCUUAUCAGCUUGUUGGUGGGGUAGUGGCUUACCAAGGCUUUGACGGGUAGCCGGCCUGAGAGGGUGACCGGCCACAUUGGGACUGAGAUACGGCCCAGACUCCUACGGGGGGCAGCAGUGGGGAAUAUUGCACAAUGGGCGGAAGCCUGAUGCAGCAACGCCGCGUGCGGGAUGACGGCCUUCGGGUUGUAAACCGCUUUCGCCUGUGACGAAGCGCGAGUGACGGUAAUGGGUAAAGAAGCACCGGCUAACUACGUG